GUCACAGUUAUAAAUUGAACAAGGGCUCCAGAAAUACUUUUACAAUCACAUUUCAAAUGUAGGAAUUUUGAAGUUCUGUUAUUAUUUGCACUACAAUAUUACAAACUAGUAGUAUACAGUAGUGGCACGAGGAACAAAUCUUAUCAUCAUUUCAUUCAUAAAGAACGGAAGCUAAGCGCGGAGCAAGGAGAACUUGGAGUGGAGAAGCUUUGAGCACUGUCAAUCCAAAGCUCUCACUCAUGUCAAUUGCUUCAUCUGAAGGCCUCUUCAUGUCAAACCCCUGCAGCAACACUGCUAUUACAAAGGGCACCACUUGAAGGGCCAAAGAUAUUCCAGGGCACAUUCUUCUUCCACUACCAAAUGGCAUUAACUCAAAGUGAUUGCCCUUUACAUCGACAUCCUUGUGGGUCGACAAGAACCUCUCUGGCUUAAACUCGUGAGGAUUUGGCCAUAUAUUAGGAUCGUGCUGAAUCUUCCAUAAGUUCACUAAUAAGCGAGUCCCUUUUGGUAUAUCGUAUCCCCCAAUGACACAAUCCUCCAUUGACUCGUGUGGUACAGAGAGCGGUCCAGCUGGAUAUAAACGUAAUACUUCUUUGACAAUAGCUUGAAGAUAAACCAAGUUCUUGAUAUCCGAUUCUUGGACCCAUCUGUUGUUGCCGACAUGAGCGUCUAGCUCAUCUUGAGCCUUUUUUAGUGCUUCGUAGUUGUUCAAGAGUAAACAUAAAGCCCAUGUUAAAGUUACGAUGGUGGUGUCUGUACCUGCCGAUAGUAGACCCAUGCAAUUAGCUUUUAUAGCAGUAUCGGCAUCAAAACCAGGCAGAUCUCUGUCUUCACAAAUGGAAAGCAUGACAUCCAUGAAAUCUUCUUCUUCACCAGAUUUGAUAAUUCCUCUCUUUGUUUUGUGCUCCGUUAACCAUUCUUCAACAACAGAGUCCAUUUCUUUAGAAACCUCCUUCAUCGCUUUCUCAUGGCCUCCAAUGUCGAGCCAUCUUAAAUAAGGUAAAAAAUCAGCCACAACAAAAGCUCCUAACAAUUCGAAAAAUCUUCGAAUUGCUUUGUGAGCUUUAUUUAUUCCUUCGUCCUCAUUACUCCUUCGCCCUUUUCCGAAUAAUAUUUUCCCCAUAGUAUUCAUAACUAAAUCUCCAAUCCAUUCCUUCAUCUCCAUCUUCACAACACCAUUUAAAUUAUUCUUCCCCCAAUUACUAUAAAUCUCUUUAAUACCUGAUUUUACCUCAAAUUCUCUGAUGUGUUUGAGCAUCUCGAUUCGUCGAGCGGAGAAAAGUUCAAUUGUGGCAAUCUUCCUUGUUUCUCUCCAGUAAGGACCGUAAGCAGAAAGUGCAAACAUAGCGUGUUUGUAGCCUACAAUCUCUGAAGCCAUGGAUUUAGGGCGACCUGCUAGGGCUAAAUCGUUAGUUGUGAAACAUUCUUUGGCUAAUUUGGGAUCGCUCACAACUACAACCUGAUGAACUCCAAGCUUCAUUCCGAAAAUUGGCCCGUACUUAUCUGCCAUGCGCCCCAUGAUUUUGUGAGGUAAUUGCUCUGUUUCGGAUCCACUCAAAAGGUGAAGAUGACCGAUAAUAGGCCAUGCUCCGCCAGCUGCAGGUACUCUUUUACUUUUACUAUGUAUUUUCGCUGAGAAAGCAUGUUUGCGAAGAAAGAAGAAAAAAACAGAGGAACUAGCUACCAUGAUAACAAUCAAAAAAAUAUCCAUAGUCGCUCCUCCGUUUGUGAAAGCAGC
rnacentral:misc_RNA from 1 species